rnacentral:rRNA from 6 species
AGAGUUUGAUCAUGGCUCAGAUUGAACGCUGGCGGCAGGCCUAACACAUGCAAGUCGAACGGUAACAGGAAGCAGCUUGCUGCUUUGCUGACGAGUGGCGGACGGGUGAGUAAUGUCUGGGAAACUGCCUGAUGGAGGGGGAUAACUACUGGAAACGGUGGCUAAUACCGCAUAACGUCGCAAGACCAAAGAGGGGGACCUUCGGGCCUCUUGCCAUCAGAUGUGCCCAGAUGGGAUUAGCUAGUUGGUGAGGUAACGGCUCACCAAGGCGACGAUCCCUAGCUGGUCUGAGAGGAUGACCAGCCACACUGGAACUGAGACACGGUCCAGACUCCUACGGGAGGCAGCAGUGGGGAAUAUUGCACAAUGGGCGCAAGCCUGAUGCAGCCAUGCCGCGUGUAUGAAGAAGGCCUUCGGGUUGUAAAGUACUUUCAGCGGGGAGGAAGGUGUUGUGGUUAAUAACCGCAGCAAUUGACGUUACCCGCAGAAGAAGCACCGGCUAACUCCGUGCCAGCAGCCGCGGUAAUACGGAGGGUGCAAGCGUUAAUCGGAAUUACUGGGCGUAAAGCGCACGCAGGCGGUCUGUCAAGUCGGAUGUGAAAUCCCCGGGCUCAACCUGGGAACUGCAUUCGAAACUGGCAGGCUUGAGUCUUGUAGAGGGGGGUAGAAUUCCAGGUGUAGCGGUGAAAUGCGUAGAGAUCUGGAGGAAUACCGGUGGCGAAGGCGGCCCCCUGGACAAAGACUGACGCUCAGGUGCGAAAGCGUGGGGAGCAAACAGGAUUAGAUACCCUGGUAGUCCACGCCGUAAACGAUGUCUACUUGGAGGUUGUGCCCUUGAGGCGUGGCUUCCGGAGCUAACGCGUUAAGUAGACCGCCUGGGGAGUACGGCCGCAAGGUUAAAACUCAAAUGAAUUGACGGGGGCCCGCACAAGCGGUGGAGCAUGUGGUUUAAUUCGAUGCAACGCGAAGAACCUUACCUGGUCUUGACAUCCACAGAACUUUCCAGAGAUGGAUUGGUGCCUUCGGGAACUGUGAGACAGGUGCUGCAUGGCUGUCGUCAGCUCGUGUUGUGAAAUGUUGGGUUAAGUCCCGCAACGAGCGCAACCCUUAUCCUUUGUUGCCAGCGAUUAGGUCGGGAACUCAAAGGAGACUGCCAGUGAUAAACUGGAGGAAGGUGGGGAUGACGUCAAGUCAUCAUGGCCCUUACGACCAGGGCUACACACGUGCUACAAUGGCGCAUACAAAGAGAAGCGACCUCGCGAGAGCAAGCGGACCUCAUAAAGUGCGUCGUAGUCCGGAUUGGAGUCUGCAACUCGACUCCAUGAAGUCGGAAUCGCUAGUAAUCGUGGAUCAGAAUGCCACGGUGAAUACGUUCCCGGGCCUUGUACACACCGCCCGUCACACCAUGGGAGUGGGUUGCAAAAGAAGUAGGUAGCUUAACCUUCGGGAGGGCGCUUACCACUUUGUGAUUCAUGACUGGGGUGAAGUCGUAACAAGGUAACCGUAGGGGAACCUGCGGUUGGAUCACCU